UACGUAGGGUGCAAGCGUUAUCCGGAAUUAUUGGGCGUAAAGAGCUCGUAGGUGGUUUGUCGCGUUGUUCGUGAAAACUCACAACUCAAUUGUGGGCGUGCGGGCGAUACGGGCAGACUUGAGUACUGCAGGGGAGACUGGAAUUCCUGGUGUAGCGGUGAAAUGCGCAGAUAUCAGGAGGAACACCGGUGGCGAAGGCGGGUCUCUGGGCCGAUACUGACGCUGAGGAGCGAAAGCGUGGGGAGCGAACAGG
rnacentral:rRNA from 1 species